GGGGGUGGGUGAGGAAAGAGGAUGAAUCCCGGGGACGAGCUAGGAGCGAGGGAUAGAGCCAGGGGCCGCGUUAGGAGCGAAGGAUCGAGCCCGGGGCGCAGGGGGGCAAGAGGAAGGGAGCGAGGUGACAUGGGAAGGGAAUUGAAAGCCCAGCUUUGUAAACCUCCAAGAACAACAGAGGGCUCAAAGAAGUGUGAGGUGCGUUGGUUAUCGUAAUUUUUUUUGAGUCAGGAUCUCACUGUUGUACAGGCUGGAGUGCAGUGGCCCCAUUAUAGCUCACUGCAGCCUCAACCUCCUGGACUCAAGCAAUCUUUCCGUCUCAGCCUCCCGAGUAGGUAGGAUUGCAGGUGCGCGCCAAUACGCGGCUAAUUUUGUUUUGUAUUUUUCGUAGAGACAGGUUUCACUGUGCUGCUCAGGCUGGUCUUGAACUCCUGGCCUCAAGCCAUCCUCCUGCCUCUGCCUCCCAAAGUGCUGGGAUUACAGGCGUGAGCCACCCUGUGGUGGUUUUUAAGUGUAACAUUUAUGUGUAGACGGGUGAGGUUGAACUUGUAAAGAAGUUGGAAAGAGAUUUAAAACUGGUUUUGGUGGGAGUCAAACCUGGGUUUGAAUUCGUACUCCACAGUAAACAGCCCAGUGAUCUUGAGCAAAUUGUUUCAUCUCC